CUCCUUGCCAACCAGCAGCUCCCUUGGUAGGGGCAUGCAGAAGACCUGAUGACACAAACCCUCCAAAGAGUUUCACCCUCACCACAACAGGUGGCUUCCUGCUCGGCAGCCCAUCCUGCAUCACUUCAGUGGACUUCUCUGACAUCUACUAGACCACAUUAAAUGAAUCACAGCCUUGAAACUGAACUGGAAGGACUUCCUUCAAGAUUUUUAUCUAAUUCCUGUUGGACAGUGUAAAAUGCCACUUCUUCCAGGGUUGCCUGCAUAUCAUCAAAAGGGAAAUAGUACUCAUCGAAGAUGUGCCUUUGCUAGGAACUAGGACAAGGGUGGCCUUUAUAAAUUCAUGAAGAGAAGGAGCCAGCAUAUGAACUUGCUGCCUAUCUUUAGCAAGGAGAUGCAAAUGACAUCCACAAACCUCUUCUGCUGUAUACCUGGAUGAAAGCAAGGCUAGCUGUGUGUCCUAUGGCACCAAGGACUGAAAGAUUGUAAGAAGUAAGAGUCCAUCAUAGAGGCCAAGCCAAAUACAACUAUGUUUUCAAGCAUAAGAUGGAUAGAUGUGGUAAACCACAAGAAGCAAACAGCCCUUUAGAGGUGUGGAUUGACCUUGCAGAGUUACAAGUGGAGCCAGGAGAAAUCAUGUUGAGUGGGACUUCUCAUCCUACCUAAGAGAGACUAACAGAUGGAAAGCUGGGUACAGAAGGGAGAGAAGGCAGUAACAGUCAGAUUUCAAUACGCUGAGACUGUGACGUGGGACUUUUGAGUGAGUAACAUCUGCUCCUAGAACUGAGUUGAGUGGGGAUCCUCCCACACCACCCAGGCAAGAGAACUAACAAUUGAUGACUGCUCCAAAUCAGUCGCCAGUCUACCUAAUACUUCUACCUGGUAGGUAGCCUGAUACCCACUAACAUCAGGUAGGUUCUAUAUGAUUAAUAGUUCAUAAGAUAAAUAUUAAUCAUUAGCAAUUUUCAAAGCUGAGGUACAGCUACUUCAAAAAUGAAGAAGGAAUGCAGAUGAAGAGUCUCCAGACUCUUCAAGAGACUCUCUGCAAGCAAAGUCUCCAGAGUUCUGAGGGAAAGAAGCAAACAAAGAAUCACAGCCAUUCUUUGAGGGAGCAACCUACUCAUUAAAGAAAUGCAAUCAUGAUUAUGCUGAUCAAAUGAAAAUCUCAAAAAUAGAGAGGCCAUGGGAAAAGGGCUAGUUAUGAGCACUGAAUUCAUUUACAUAUAAAACAAGGCAAAAUAAUUGUCAUAAUACUUUGUAAUGGUUAUAAACACCAAAUAAAUGUUAUAUAGAGGUGAAUCGCAUAAAAAUAGUAAUAUAGCAGUUUUCCCAGUUUUUCUUAAUAUUUAAUAAAUACUGCCUACACUUGGUGCAUGAAGUUAAA
rnacentral:lncRNA from 1 species